rnacentral:rRNA from 1 species
UGAGGAAUAUUGGUCAAUGGACGAGAGUCUGAACCAGCCAAGUAGCGUGAAGGAUGACUGCCCUAUGGGUUGUAAACUUCUUUUAUACGGGAAUAAAGUGAGGCACGUGUGCCUUUUUGUAUGUACCGUAUGAAUAAGGAUCGGCUAACUCCGUGCCAGCAGCCGCGGUAAUACGGAGGAUCCGAGCGUUAUCCGGAUUUAUUGGGUUUAAAGGGAGCGUAGGCGGACGCUUAAGUCAGUUGUGAAAGUUUGCGGCUCAACCGUAAAAUUGCAGUUGAUACUGGGUGUCUUGAGUACAGUAGAGGCAGGCGGAAUUCGUGGUGUAGCGGUGAAAUGCUUAGAUAUCACGAAGAACUCCGAUUGCGAAGGCAGCUUGCUGGACUGUAACUGACGCUGAUGCUCGAAAGUGUGGGUAUCAAACAGGAUUAGAUACCCUGGUAGUCCACACAGUAAACGAUGAAUACUCGCUGUUUGCGAUAUACAGUAAGCGGCCAAGCGAAAGCGUUAAGUAUUCCACCUGGGGAGUACGCCAGCAACGGUGAAACUCAAAGGAAUUGACGGGGGCCCGCACAAGCGGAGGAACAUGUGGUUUAAUUCGAUGAUACGCGAGGAACCUUACCCGGGCUUGAAUUGCAACUGAAUGAUGUGGAGACAUGUCAGCCGCAAGGCAGUUGUGAAGGUGCUGCAUGGUUGUCGUCAGCUCGUGCCGUGAGGUGUCGGCUUAAGUGCCAUAACGAGCGCAACCCUUAUCGAUAGUUACCAUCAGGUUAUGCUGGGGACUCUGUCGAGACUGCCGUCGUAAGAUGUGAGGAAGGUGGGGAUGACGUCAAAUCAGCACGGCCCUUACGUCCGGGGCUACACACGUGUUACAAUGGGGGGUACAGAAGGCAGCUACACGGCGACGUGAUGCUAAUCCCGAAAGCCUCUCUCAGUUCGGAUUGGAGUCUGCAACCCGACUCCAUGAAGCUGGAUUCGCUAGUAAUCGCGCAUCAGCCACGGCGCGGUGAAUACGUUCCC